CUGUCAUGGGAUUUGAAUUUGACCAUCUUGAGCAUUUAUGGAGCAGACCAAAAGCUGCAAUGGCAAACACUUCCAAUGCUGAAGACCAAAAACGCAAAGAAAAUCAGUCACAGCAAGCCGGCAGUCCUGAUGAAAGAGGAAUGAACAUGGCCUUCUUUUGCCCAAACAGAAAAGACAGAGUGCUGAAAAGUUGCACUUUUCCAUUGCUCCUAGAAUGAGCAAAUCUCAUCUGCAUCAU